UGGCUGCGGUGGGAUUAGAACCUACUCCUCCGAGGAGACUGGUGCCUUAAACCAGCGCCUUAGACCGCUCUGCCACGCUACC
rnacentral:tRNA from 13 species